GACAGAGGGGGCGAACGUUGUUCGGAAUUACUGGGCGUAAAGCGCAUGUAGGCGGCAGCGCAAGUCGGGCGUGAAAUCCCACGGCUCAACCGUGGAAGUGCACUCGAAACUGCGCAGCUAGAGUCCUGGAGAGGAAGGUGGAAUGCUUGGUGUAGAGGUGAAAUUCGUAGAUAUCAAGCGGAACACCGGUGGCGAAGGCGGCCUUCUGGACAGUGACUGACGCUGAGAUGCGAAAGCGUGGGGAGCAAACAGG
rnacentral:rRNA from 1 species